rnacentral:misc_RNA from 1 species
GAUUAAGAACGUAGCGAAAUGCGAUAAGUAAUGUGAAUUGCAGAAUUCAGUGAAUCAUCGAAUCUUUGAACGCACCUUGCGCCCUUUGGCCAUUCCGAAGGGCAUGCCUGUUUGAGUAUCAUGAACACCUCAACUCUUCAUGGUUUUCCAUGAUGAGCUUGGACUUUGGGGGUCUUGCUGGCCUGUGGGUCGGCUCCUCUCAAAUGAAUCAGCUUGCCGGUUUUUGGUGGGCAUCACAGGUGUGAUAACUAUCUACGCUUGUGGUUUUCCACCAGGGUAACCUUCAGCAGUGGAGGUUCACUGGAGCUUACAAAUGUCUCUCCUCUGUGAGGACAGCCCUUUGAAUGUUUGAUCUCAAAUCAGGUAGGACUACCCGCUGAACUUAAGCAUAUCAAUAAGCGGAGGA